AUGGGGUCGUCCAAGACGUCCGCCAAUACUCGGCGGAUUGACCCCGCCGCCGACCUUCGGGAGGCGACGGAGCGCAACGCACGGGAGAAGCGCGACGAGGAGGAGGCCAAGCGUCUGGAGAAGGCGGAGGCCAAGAAAGCGGCGACCUCCGCCCAGAAGAAGCUGGAGGAAGCCGAAGCCGCCGCCGCAGCAAGACAGCGGGCAGAGGAGACCGUGCGCCGCCAAUCGGUGUUGCUUGUCGUCCCGCUGAACUCUGCGCCGCCGCCCCCGGAGUUCACGGGGCAGACUGGAGAAGUCGGCGGGGAGCACUCCAUCAUGGAGAAGGACGAUGGUGAGGCCUCCGCGUCAGGCACGGCCAUGCCGCCACCGCCGCCUCCGCCGCAUGGCAAGCAGCCGGCGGGCCUGCCAGUGCCGCCGACUGAGGACGAGGCGGUGGCGAGGCUGCUCCUUCAAGUCGCCUCACCAGCGUGCCGCCGCCUCGAGAACGCGGUUUCGGUGCCACGCCCCUUGGAAGCCGGCGCCGUCAACUCGGCCAUUCCAGAUGCUGAGGCAACAAGCGCUGCGCCUACUGGAUGGGUGCGAGGGGGCGGCGACGGUCCGCUGAACCAGGCGCUCUUGGACGUGCAGGAGAAGCUGCGAGCUGAGGGCGAAGCCAUCCAGGGCUGCACCAGGGCGCAUCUGGCGUCACGGGCGUCUAUCCGGGUAUGUUUUCUUUUUUGA
rnacentral:rRNA from 1 species